rnacentral:rRNA from 1 species
UACGUAGUGGGCUAGCGUUGUCCGGAAUCAUUGGGCGUAAAGCGCGUGUAGGCGGUCCGGUAAGUCCGCUGUGAAAGCCAGGGGCUCAACCCUUGGAUGCCGGUGGAUACUGUCGGGCUUGAGUACGGAAGAGGCGAGUGGAAUUCCUGGUGUAGCGGUGAAAUGCGCAGAUAUCAGGAGGAACACCAAUUGCGAAGGCAGCUCGCUGGGACGUUACUGACGCUGAGACGCGAAAGCGUGGGGAGCAAACAGG